rnacentral:rRNA from 1 species
UCGAGCGGAAAGGCCCUUUCGGGGGGUACUCGAGCGGCGAACGGGUGAGUUAACACCGUGAGUAAUCUGCCCUUGGCUUUGGGAUAACUACCGGAAACGGUGGCUAAUACCGGAUAUGACCAUGCUCGGCAUCGGGUGUGGUGGAAAGUUUUUCGGCCAGGGGAUGUGCUCGCGGCCUAUCAGCUUGUUGGUGGGGUAAUGGCCUACCAAGGCUUCGACGGUAGCCGGCCUGAGAGGGUGACCGGCCACACUGGGACUGAGACACGGCCCAGACUCCUACGGGAGGCAGCAGUGGGGAAUAUUGGACAAUGGGCGGAAGCCUGAUCCAGCAACGCCGCGUGAGGGAUGACGGCCUUCGGGUUGUAAACCUCUUUCAGUACCGACGAAGCGCCGAUGAUGGUGGUGACGGUAGGUACAGAAGAAGCACCGGCCAACUACGUG